rnacentral:rRNA from 1 species
CGAACGCUGGCGGCGUGCCUAAUACAUGCAAGUCGAGCGGACGAUUCAAAAGCUUGCUUUUGAAUCGUUAGCGGCGGACGGGUGAGUAACACGUGGGCAACCUGCCCUGUAGACGGGGAUAACACCGAGAAAUCGGUGCUAAUACCGGAUAACACGGAAGACCGCAUGGUUUUUCGUUGAAAGGCGGCGCAAGCUGUCGCUACAGGAUGGGCCCGCGGCGCAUUAGCUAGUUGGUGAGGUAACGGCUCACCAAGGCGACGAUGCGUAGCCGACCUGAGAGGGUGAUCGGCCACACUGGGACUGAGACACGGCCCAGACUCCUACGGGAGGCAGCAGUAGGGAAUCUUCCGCAAUGGACGAAAGUCUGACGGAGCAACGCCGCGUGAGCGAAGAAGGCCUUCGGGUCGUAAAGCUCUGUUGUUAGGGAAGAACAAGUACCGCAGUCACUGGCGGUACCUUGACGGUACCUAACGAGAAAGCCACGGCUAACUACGUGCCAGCAGCCGCGGUAAUACGUAGGUGGCAAGCGUUGUCCGGAAUUAUUGGGCGUAAAGCGCGCGCAGGCGGUUCCUUAAGUCUGAUGUGAAAGCCCACGGCUCAACCGUGGAGGGUCAUUGGAAACUGGGGGACUUGAGUGCAGAAGAGGAGAGCGGAAUUCCACGUGUAGCGGUGAAAUGCGUAGAGAUGUGGAGGAACACCAGUGGCGAAGGCGGCUCUCUGGUCUGUAACUGACGCUGAGGCGCGAAAGCGUGGGGAGCAAACAGGAUUAGAUACCCUGGUAGUCCACGCCGUAAACGAUGAGUGCUAAGUGUUAGAGGGUAUCCACCCUUUAGUGCUGUAGCUAACGCAUUAAGCACUCCGCCUGGGGAGUACGCUCGCAAGAGUGA